rnacentral:lncRNA from 1 species
AAAUCAUUAACUAUUGUAAGGAAAUAUCUACAACCAGAAGAAGUAGAAGUGUGAUAAGGUCCCCAAGUAUCCACAUGGAUCAAUUGAAAAGGCCUAGAGGUACUUAUAGUGCUAUCAGAAAAGGGGAGUCUAGUCUGUUUAGCCAUAGGACAGACAGAGCAAGGGAAAGGUUGUUUAGAAGCAAAUGGAAAAGACAAACCAGAAAUAUGUCUCAUAUUUGCAAAUGAAUAACUUCUAACAGUUUGAACCACAGCUUUAAAUUGGGUUUUAACCAAACAUAGGAAUGAUUUAAGCAGGGAGAAAGCAUUGCUUUUAGACCCCAUUAAGUGUGUCCAGGUUGCCCUAGAGAAAUCAUUAACUAUUGUAAGGAAAUAUCUACAACCAGAAGAAGUAGAAGUGUGAUAAGGUCCCCAAGUAUCCACAUGGAUCAAUUGAAAAGGCCUAGAAGUGCUUAUGCUGCUAUCAGGAAAGGGGAGUCUAGUUUGCUUGGCCAUAGGACAGACAGAACAAGAAAAAGGUUGUUUAGAAGCAAGUGGAAAAGACAAACCAGAAAUAUGUCUCAUAUUUGCAAAU